CCUUUCUUUUGCAUCAUGGCCUAUGCCUCUCCCUGAAGCCUCAGAUGCAGAUGUAAGAUCAAGAAUCCUCUUGGGCCUCGGGUGGCCUUAAAAAUGGCAACAGGAUGACUGUGGCAGCACUGAGGACCUUCGCCUGCCUCCUCUGAGCACAGCCAGAGCAGACACAAUACACACUGGUUGACUGAAAUUCUCUUCACCAACUACACCAAGUUCCAGAUGCUACUAUGAUGCCAACCAGACUUCCCUGGGCAGACAACCCCAACAAUGUGUCCUGGAACCCCACUUUCUCAGAGCCCUGCCCACUAGGGAAAGAGAGAGACAGGCUGGGAGUAUGGAUAGACCUGUCAACACCCAUGUUCAUCGGGGAAGCAAUUACAGAAGCCAGAGCUUCCACCUUCUGCAUCCCACAAUGACCUUGGGUCCAUACUCCCAGAGGGUUAAAGAAUAGGAAAGCUAUCAAGGGAGGGGACUUGAUAUGGAGCUCUGGGGGUGGAAACUGUGUG